GUUCCUUCAGUUGACUCUCCCCUCCCAAAUUCAGGGACAGAGACAAGAAAGUGGGGGAGAAGACAACCAGCUGCUCGCACACAUGCAGUAGAGCUGGGGAGCCCUGAAGCUCUGACUGCGAAGCUAUGACUGGCAUUUUACUCCCUUUCCCAAGCUCUGAGGUCUUGCUCAACUCUAGCUGAGUAACAAGGCUGGCAGGGUUACCUCACUUCUUGACAGCAGGCCCCAGCCUUCCUGGCUCAAACCCACUUCCUGUCCCAGAGUCUCUCUUGUUAGGCAUGAUUGAGUCUCAUUCUUCCUGUUGACUUCUGUUUUGUUCCAGCUGGUCCCCGGGUGGCCCCCACGUGCUGCUGUGAACCAGAUCAGCUGAGGACCUGCGACCAGGUUGCUCAAUGUCAGUGAUGUCACUUGUCCUCUUGGAUUUCUGAAGUUCUCUGAAAAUCAGCUUUGUCACAGUAACUGUAAUCCUGGAGAAGUUGCCUUAACCUCCCUGGCACCAGGUCUUCUCAUCUGUAACAGUGGGAACACUCAUCCGCACUUCACAGGGUUGGUGCUAACGGAUGUUCCUGACAGGGUCUGACCCAUAGUAAGCAGUUGCUACUCCAGGGUAUAGGCUACGGUUGGAACCAGGACUGAAGACUGAAGCUUGGGAGACUGGAGGCUCUGCAGUCAGGAAAGUCACACAGUUCCAGACUGGGAAGAAGUUCCAAGCCAGGGUCUUGACAACUUAAUGGAAGAAAAAAAAAUCCCAUCGAUAUUAUGUCCUGUUUUCACCCAGAAAGCAGGUCUGUUUUUUGGUAUUUCUGUUUUUUUGUUUGUUUGUUUUUUCAAGACAGGGUUUCUCUGUGGCUUUGGAGGCUGUCCUGGAACUAGCUCUUGUAGACCAGGCUGGUCUCGAACUCACAGAGACCCGCCUGCCUCUGCCUCCCAAGUGCUGGGAUUAAAGGCAUUCGCCACUACCGCCCGGCUUGUUUUUUGGUAUUUCAAGACAGGGUUUUUCUGUAGCUUUGGAGACUGUCCUGGAACUCACUUUGUAGACCAG
rnacentral:lncRNA from 1 species